rnacentral:rRNA from 1 species
GUGGGGAAUAUUGGGCAAUGGGCGCAAGCCUGACCCAGCAACGCCGCGUGAGGGAAGAAGGUUUUCGGAUUGUAAACCUCUGUCGCAGGGGACGAAGGAAGUGACGGUACCCUGUAAGAAAGCCCCGGCUAACUACGUGCCAGCAGCCGCGGUAAUACGUAGGGGGCGAGCGUUGUCCGGAAUUACUGGGCGUAAAGGGAGCGUAGGCGGUCGAUUAAGUUAGAUGUGAAACCCCCGGGCUUAACUUGGGGACUGCAUCUAAUACUGGUUGACUUAGAGUACAGGAGAGGGAAGCGGAAUUCCUAGUGUAGCGGUGAAAUGCGUAGAUAUUAGGAGGAACACCAGUGGCGAAGGCGGCUUUCUGGACUGACACUGACGCUGAGGCUCGAAAGCGUGGGGAGCAAACAGGAUUAGAAACCCUAGUAGUCC